UAUAACAUAAUGCAAUACUUUAUUCCUUUGGUAGUAAAAAAAAAAAUAUUUGUUUGCAUAUUGCUCCUUGAUCCAGAAAACUAUCAUUUUAAUCAAAGCCUAAUGUGUCACAUUUAUUUUCAAUGAACCAGUUGUCUAAUUAAAUCUAUUCUAACUUAUAUCUUAUUUCUACCUGUAAAAGUAGCAGAGGGUGCACUCACAGAAAUGAUUCAUGGCAGAGUUAGUUUUUAUGCAUUUACAUCUAUUUGACUUUAUUUAAAAACUAAUAUUUUUAAAAUCUAUACAUUAAAAGUAAAUAUACUCUAAAAGAUUUAAUCAAUUAUACAAUUUAUUUAAUGCAUUUAGUUAAUAAAUACUAACAUUGUUUGAAUAAUAAGAGUUAUAAAACAAACAAGAUUCUGUUAUUUAAAGUUUAUGUGAUUGGUUUUCAUCAAAGUUAUGAAAAAAAUCAAUUUGGAAACAGGAAAUGACAUCAUUUUUGCUGGACACAAGCCCUCGGGAUAUUGUGGGAAUCCGUCACACACAUGUUGAAACGUAACUGGUGGUAUUUUCUUAGUUUUCCUCUCACCGUGUUCUCACCUCCACGUGGCAACAUAGAUUUUUAAUGAAGAUGUCAAUGUGAGGCGAGAUUGUGUGAUGAGCUGUCUGAGCAUCUACCUCAAUGAAGACCUGGAACCACUUGGUAAAGAAUAUGUGGUAUGUAUCAGAAUAGUGUGCCAGUAAUUUUUCCAUCUAGAUAAUAUGGAUUGUUCAUGAGAAUGGAAUGGACAUUAGGACACAUUGACCACCAGUAUUUCAACAUUGAGUCCAUUGGGUUGUUUUGAAUAAAAAAAAUCAUGCAAGGUAAAUGGUGGUAGAGCUGUCACUCUGAGGGAAUUAAAUCUGCUUGGUCCAGAGGAACCUGAAGAUGAAGUUGUCUGGGUUCUGGCACCCACAUGCCCCUUCUCCGCCAGAAACAACAAUCCUCGCCUAAACAACAAGGAUGCAUGUUCUGGACUGUCUGCUUACGAACUCAAGCGCCUUGAGAACAUCACGCACAAGGAAGCCUUCUUGUCGUCUCUGAAGAUAUGGCAAGUAUGUGGACAUUUUAGUAAAGGUAGUGGAAGAUCUGAGGCAGUCAGUGAAGCCAAAGCCCAAUGUCAAAAGGACAUUGAAUCCAGAGAGGCAGAGGAAGACAUGGCAGAAAAGACCAUGGGCAUCUACAAAGUACAAUCAAAGGAUCAUGGUCAAGGUGAUGGACGCUUCACUGAUGUCCGUGUUGUGCUGGAAGGUGUGGAGGUUCUCCACAACCUGUAGAGUGUCACUCAUGCAUGGGUUAUGUUAUAUGGCCUGAUCUACGCGCUCAAUUUGAACUACCCUAAAAGCCUGAAGUGUACAUUUGAGGUGUACCAGAAAAUCCUGAUGGACCUGGACUCAACCAAGCUUUCCCCGAAAGUACAGACACUGAAACUGAAAUUGCUCCAGUGGCUAAAAAUAACAACUUAUACAGCCCCUACCCAUUUUUUUUCACAUUGUGCUCCAACCCUGAGAUAUGUUAAAAUGAUUUCCUAGUUCUAUAAUGAUAUGUUAAUUAGCAACUGAAAAUGGAUCUCUGAGUACAGUUUUAUUUUUUAUUUAUUUAUUUUUUUGGGUGUCCAAGCAGUCAUGUGAUGUUCGAGUGUGGCUGUGUAAGUGGGUUCAUAUGGAUGGUUUCCUAAAUGUUGGCUGAUGUUAACUUGGCUCAAUCCAGAGUUUUGUAUAAAAGAUAAAUAUAAAUAAAUCUGGAAUUUUCCAGUUGGUCUAAUUCAAUGUGAUGCAUUUUUUGAUUUGGUUUAGUAUAUAAGCAUACAUUAAACAUGAUUCAAAUAAAUGUUAUUUAUAUUUUUUAGUUACCCCGAUUUAGUUCUCUUAAUUAUUAUGCAAUUUAUACAAUAAACUUUGUGUAUUUUAAAUAAAUACACUUUUUAUUAUUAAUUUAGAAUAAUUACACUUUACAUGAACUAAUUACGUAAACCUGAGGAUUAUGCAUUUAAAAUAAAUAGGUUUUAUUAUCCUUAUGAAAAUAAAUAGUAUAAAGUUUAUUUGGUAGAUUUGUGUUAAAAUUAUGAAAAAAAUAUAAAUGGUAAUUUGUCAUGUAAUAAAAUUACAUAAAUCUUAAUUUUUGGAUGAAAUAUUUCUGUGAGUGUGGUAGUAAAAAACAGCUUGAACUCGAAACACUGUAGAGAAAUCAAACUG
ensembl:lincRNA